AAUUAUUAUUUUACCACACAAAUAUCUAUCCAUGUGGCUAUUGUUUUCAUCAUAUGGACAUUAAAUGACAUCACAAGAUGAUGUUUUAAGAAUGAAAAAUAAUAAAUUAAUGGCUCUAGCUUUUAGAAUUGGCAUUUCUAGGAUAGAAUAGAUGACUCAAAUAAAUAGGCAAAAGUGUCUUCAUAUUACACAAUAAUCUCCUCUCGCCAGUUCUCAAUUCUGACAUAUCUAUAUCAAAAAUGAAGAUGAAGUUUAGAAUUUUGGAGGAAUAGAUAAACGACGGCGAUGAGGCGGCAUGAGGAGGCUAAACUACUAGGAGUGUAGAUUUGAAGGGGUAAGAUAUUAGGGUUUGGGGGUAGAUAUGUAUAUAUGUUGAAAACAGAUGGGCCUUUAAUCAUUACUAGCAAAAUGUGAACUUUGGUCCUUAUACUAUUGAGUAUUGACAAACCAUUA